AGGUAGCUCAAAGCUAACUUAGAACAUGGAAGCAACUUUUAUUAAGUUUACCACAAAACGAUGAAAGAUGUCUCUAGGAGGAGAAGAAGAGUUCAAAUGCGACUUCGACUUUAGACUUCCCCAAAGAUACCUGCUCCCGCGCUUUUCCCCCUACAAGUUACUGGUCGCUGUCCCACUGGCACACUGGUUUUCCUAACUGGAAUCAGGACGUCUCUGGUGACACACUGAAUCAUUGGACCAUCAGUGCCAUGCAGUCAUCAAAGGGAUGGGCUCGUUUGGACGUCAGUAUUGAGAGCGCAGCCAACAGGUAAUGUUCAAAGCACAAAGAAAAGUCAGUGGAGACGAAUAAAAACCUGUCAUCACCUCAUUUAGCUCACGCUAGCAGUGUUGGCAACCGCUGUUGUGAUGCUACCAAGGGGCAGAGAAGAUUAGGAGAUAUGAUCCCGUUAGACUUUGUGCUGAUUGUGUUUGUAGAGCCUGAGUAGAAGCUAGCAUCGCGGCUAACAACAACUACAAGAGCGGAGAUGAACGAGGAAAGUGUGAAUUAAAUAAAGUGUUUAAGCUAUAGCCGACAGGCCAAAGUGGCUGCAGAUGAAAGCAACCACAUUUUUUACGAUGUAGAUUACGGAAAUUAUUACAAACAUCUUAAUAUUUGUGGAUAUUGUUUUGCCUCAUGUCGGCUAAUCAGUACAGUCUAUAGUAAUUCACUGCAAGUAAUCAAAUAUGGAAAUUACUUAAAAUGCUGAUAAAUCUGCUUCAUUAUUUUUUUAAGUCAUUGUUUGUUCUAUAAAAUGCCUUAAAAUUGUGAAAAACACCCAAGUUGAUGUAUUUAAAUAUCUUGUUCUUGUACGAUUUUUGCUUAAAAAAAUGACUCAGACAAUAAAUGGAUUAUCAGAAUGGUU